rnacentral:tRNA from 2 species
AGCGGGGUAGUGAAGAGGUUUCACGCAAGACUCAUUAUCUUGAAACUCUGGUUCGAAUCCAGACCCCGCCUCCA